GAGCCCUUGCAAUUGAGAGACUUUGUUAAUGAGAAUGCCAAGUUGUUGGGUCAUUAUUUUAUUUUAGCUAAGAUGGCAUCCUAAGAUUGGAGUUGAAAGAAACCUUUUUGCUGACUCCUUUCAUUCUACAAUUCACUAUCAUUUGCAGCCAUGUUCUCAAUAAGUUCAUGGGCUUCUUCUGAUGUCUUCCAACGGAUGUUUCCUCCAGCUG
rnacentral:lncRNA from 1 species